CUAGUAACGGCGAGUGAAGCGGGAUGAGCUCAAAUUUGUAAUCUGGCGGCCUCUGGCCGUCCGAGUUGUAGUCUGGAGAAGCGUCUUCCGCGUCGGACCGUGUACAAGUCCCUUGGAACAGGGCGUCGUAGAGGGUGAGAAUCCCGUCUUUGACACGGACUGCCGAUGCUUUGCGAUGCGCUCUCGAAGAGUCGAGUUGUUUGGGAAUGCAGCUCAAAACGGGUGGUAAAUUCCAUCUAAAGCUAAAUAUGGGCGAAAGACCGAUAGCGAACAAGUACCGUGAGGGAAAGAUGAAAAGCACUUUGGAAAGAGAGUUAAACAGUACGUGAAAUUGUUGAAAGGGAAACGCUUGAAGUCAGUCGCGUCUCCCGGGACUCAGCCUGGCGUUCCGCUCGGUGUACUUCCCGGGGCGACGGGCCAGCAUCGAUUUCGACCGUUGGAGAAAGGCCUUGGGAACGUGGCACCCUUUGGGUGUGUUAUAGCCCUCGGUCGUAUGCGACGGUUGGGAUCGAGGACCGCAGCACGCCUUUUUGGCCGGGGUUCGCCCACGCACGUGCUUAGGAUGCUGGCGUAAUGGCUUUAAGCGACCCGUCUUGAAACACGGACCAAGGAGUCUAACAUGCCUGCGAGUGUUUGGGUGGCAAACCCGGACGCGAAAUGAAAGUGAAAGGUUGGGACCUCUGUCGUGGAGGGCACCGACGCCCGGACCAGACCUUCUGUGACGGUUCCGAGGUGGAGCAUGCAUGCUGGGACCCGAAAGAUGGUGAACUAUGCUUGAGUAGGGUGAAGCCAGAGGAAACUCUGGUGGAGGCUCGUAGCGAUUCUGACGUGCAAAUCGAUCGUCGAACUUGAGUAUAGGGGCGAAAGACUAAUCGAACCAUCUAGUAGCUG
rnacentral:rRNA from 1 species